ACUACGGGAGGCAGCAGUAGGGAAUAUUGCUCAAUGGGGGAAACCCUGAAGCAGCAACGCCGCGUGGAGGAUGAAGGUUUUCGGAUUGUAAACUCCUUUUGUUAGAGAAGAUAAUGACGGUAUCUAACGAAUAAGCACUGGCUAACUCCGUGCCAGCAGCCGCGGUAAUACGGAGGGUGCCAGCGUUACUCGGAAUCACUGGGCGUAAAGAGCGCGUAGGCGGGAUAGCAAGUCAGAUGUGAAAUCCUAUGGCUUAAUCAUAGAACUGCAUUUGAAACUGGUAUUCUAGAGUAUGGGAGAGGUAGGUGGAAUUCUUGGUGUAGGGGUAAAAUCCGUAGAGAUCAAGAAGAAUACUCAUUGCGAAGGCGACCUACUGGAACAUAACUGACGCUGAUGCGCGAAAGCGUGGGGAGCAAACAGGAUUAGAUACCCUGGUAGUC
rnacentral:rRNA from 1 species